CCGCGGUAAAACCAGCUCCCCGAGGGGUUCCCACGCAUACUGGGCCUAAAGCGUCCGUAGCCGGCCCUGUAAGUCCGCAGUUAAAUCCGCCUGUAGACAGGCGGGCUGCUGCGGAUACUGCAGGGCUAGGGAGCGGGAGGAGCCGGGGGUAUUCCCGGGGGAGCGGUAAAAUGCGUAGAUCCCGGGAGGACCACCAGUGGCGAAGGCGCCCGGCUUGAACGCGUCCGACGGUGAGGGACGAAAGCUGGGGGAGCAAACCGGAUUAGAUACCCGGGUAGUCCCAGCCGUAAACGAUGCCGGCUAGGUGCUGGCCAAGGUUUCGACCUUGGCCAGUGUCGAAGCGAAGGCAUUAAGCCGGCCGCCUGAGGAGUACGGCCGCAAGGCUGAAACUUGAAGGAAUUGACGGGGGGGCACCACAAGGGGUGAAUGCCUGCGGCUUAAUUGGACUCAACGCCGGGAAUCUUACCGGGGGCGACAGCAGGAUGAAGGUUAGGCUGAAGACCUUACCAGACGCGCUGAGGGGUGGUGCAUGGCCGUCGCCAGCUCGUGCCGUGAGGUGUCCUGUUAAGUCAGGCAACGAGCGAGACCCCCGCCCCUAGUUGCCAGCGGCCUCCUUCGGGAGGGCCCGGGCAAACUAGGGGGACCGCCUCCGAAGAGGAGGAGGAAGGUGGGGGCUACGGCAGGUCAGUAUGCCCCUAAUCCCCCGGGCCGCACGCGGGCU
rnacentral:rRNA from 1 species